GGUGCUGCGAGUGGCCGGGGCGCUCCCCGAGGGCGGCGGGAAGGGCGGCGCGGUGCUCCCGGAGCCGCUUCGCUUCGGCCGUGAGGCGCGGAGCGGUGUUCGCAGGCAUUCGUCCUCAUCGAUUCCGCAGCGCUGCUGUCUGAAAUCGACACUGUGCAACUGCUCUGCGAGCGAACGCACCGCGCGGGUUUACUGUCAGGAAAACGAUCGGACCGUGCGAACCACGACUCCCGUUCGUUGCACCGCCGGUUCUCUCGAGGGCACAAGUUACUCCGCCGGGGAAGAGGAACGGAGAAUGGGAAGUGUUAAUUUUGAGCGGUUUCAGCACGCACAGCGAGCAGGAUCACAGCCCAGAAUGCUCUGCGCCGCCUUCUGCUUUCUCGAACGUUUCCACUCGUGGGCACGAAGCACGGGACGGCCUCGGGGCGCCGUCCGCAGAGGGCUCUCAAAUGCAAAGCACAGAAUCGCAGCACGCGCGCUCCCGGGGAACGCCGCGGCCGGGUCUGUGCGGGCGGGGCCAUUGGCGGCGGCGGAGGAGCGGAGCGGAGCGGGGCCGGGCACGGGGCGGUCCCUUCCCACCCUGACGAUCCUGAUUCAGUCAGCACGCGGUGCGGGAAGUGCUUUCUCUUCGCAAUUUGUGACUUUUUGUUGUAUUCUAUACCGAUAGUUGCAGUGUUUCUAACCUUAACAGACCCCCACAUCUAAAAAGUCCUAAAAACACCGCCGGAGCUCCUCGGAACCGUUGUCCUCAGCUUCCCCGCCGCGCCGAGGGGAUGGGGCAUCGCCGUACGACCCCAGGGCGCUCAGCCGGGCCGCCGGCGACGCGGUCCCCAAAGAAGCCUCUCCCAGGCCGGGCCCUGAGCCGAAGCGCCCCGCGGGGGACACGUGCAGCAGCGCGGAGCCACGUUGCCGGGGUUGGCGCGGCGCGUGCCCGGCAGAGCCCCCGUGCGCGUCGCCGCCGUCCGCAGGCGGAGAUGCGCGCUCGCGCGGACGCCUUCCCCUCCUCGUCCCGCCGCGCGCGGCCCCGCGCAACGAGGCUCCUUCCACGCCGCCCCGUAGGGCCCCGCAGCGCGCGGCUCAAGGCUGAAUGCGGAGGGCAAAGCGCGUUCAAUUCCGUUUCAUCGCCUCUGCGGUUGCCGCAGCCUCGCGCCGCCUUUCUGGGUCAGUCGAGUUUUACGUGCGACAACCGGCGUGACCGGCAGGGGGCAGCGCGGCCGGUGCUGGGACCGCCCCGAGCUGGGAGCUGCCACCCGCCUCGCGCUCGGGCAACGGGGGCGAGCGGCGGGGAGCGCUGCGCCGUGAACGCGCUGGGCGCUGCAGGCGGCCUUUUCGGGGCCGCGCUGGGGACCGCACCCGGCGGAGGGAGCACGGGGCCCGCGGGAGAGCUCUGCUGAUUCCCCUCAGACCCUACGCAGACGCGGUGUCCUUAACGGGUUUGAUUAAAUUUGUUUAUCAAAUACGGAAGUAAAGCCAGAGCCCGCAGUUCUCAUUGCAUUUGGUCUGGGGACAGAGAAGGCUUUGCCGGUCACAGCGACACUGAAGGAACAACUGAGGAGUUCAUGUGGCUGAGGGGAAUUUCAUUAUGGGAAUCCAAUUAACCUGUGAGAGUCACACGAACUGAAAUCCGUUACCGUUCCCCAAAAGCCAGCUACUGUGCGUCCUGUAGCAACGUCUGCCGGUUUGGGGUAAAUAACGCUUUGUUAGAAAAGCAUUGGGAUCUUUACAGAAUUACUAGUGUAUAGCAGCACGUCAGUGCUUUGCAAGCAUUAAUUACGCUUCUGCUUCCUAUGGAACGCGUGGCACAGCUUUCUGCCGAUCCCACUAGUGCGGACCGGAGGCGGCGGCCACGCGGCUCAGCGGGGCCGGGUCCUGCGCGCGGAGCCCGGCCGGGAGCGGAGCGAUGCCGCGGGGCGGAUGGUGCUGAGCAGCGCUGCGGAUGGUGCUGAGCAGCGCUGCGGAUGGUGCUGAGCAGCGCUGCGGAUGGUGCUGAGCAGCGCUGCGGAUGGUGCUGAGCAGCGCUGCUGGCGGCCCCUCGGCGAAAGCCAGCCCUCAACAUCUCCGUCCGUGCGAGUAGUGCGCGCAGCCACGGCCAGAGCGUGAAUUAUUGGCGGCAGCGCGGCUUGCCGGGCAGAAGCGCCCGGCUGGGAGAGCGGCGCUCCGCGGAGCUGCCGUGCCCAUCCGUCCCACCUCCCCCCGCACGCGGUCCUUACGUGCUGUGUGCGCGGGGCUGACACGCGCAAGUCAAUAAUACGGGCGACAGCCGUCCAUGAACGUGGGUGGAAAUGAGGACGGGGUUACUGAUUAGCUCGCUGCCCCUGUAAAGCUCCUAGAUCUUAUCGGAGAAAUGUGAGUUACGUGUUUUACCAUUCUUCCUUUUUUAACCAUUAUCCGAUCAAAGAAGCAUGAAAAGCACUUUAUCGCUCACUUGAUUUUUUCUCCCGUGCUGGGAGCCCUCUGCAGGAAGUGGAGCAGAAUUUCACAAAUCUUCCCUUCCUGACGUCUCCCGAAUUUCUAGGAAUGCCCCUUCCCUGUUACUAUAUUUGGAGGUAGUUUCUACGAAAAAAAAAAGCGGUUUUCAGACGGCCGUGGCCCGUGCGGGAGUGCGGUGCGGGGCCGGCAGCGGCGCGGAGCAGCCUUUGUGGCAGCGGUGCGGGAGCGAGCGCGGAGCGGAGCGAAGCGGAGAGAGGUGCCUUUGUGGCAGUGAGCAGUACGGCUCUUCCACUCAUUUCCAGAAGUGUCCAUACUAUUUUUGCCAUCCUUUUCCCCACCAAGACAGGCUUUUAAGCACCACUGGCAUUUACCAUGUGCCAACUUUUAUGGCUCUAGAGAAAUAACAGUACACUGGAGAAAGGUGUGACACAUUUUGCCUGGAAAAUGUUGUUACACUGACAAAGAAAUAUGAAGAACUUAUUUUAAUAUCCUGUCUCACAAUGUGGGGUAAAAGCAAAAAGAAAAUCAGGACAGAUGGAUGAAAUACAUACUUCUGCGAAAUGAUCGGUAACCAGAGGUCUAAUAUUCUCAAUUAUUUGCAAGACUUCAGUGAUUCCCAGAUGCCUGAAGUAAGACAAGAAUGAGGACUAGGAAUUUCUUCAGGAUUUGAUGGUUGCUUGGCACUGUGGAAUGUAGAUACCUUUGCCCAUUUGUAUGUGAACCGCGUCCUUUGCCUUGGUUUCCCAAUGGGAGCUCACAAGUGAAUACAUAGGAAGUCUUUCAGGACUUCCUUCCUCCUGUCUUUGGAGCACACAUACAGGAGAUGCAGGUGCAGGAUAUAUAUCGUAAGGAAUAAUAAGGUGUUACUCUUCCAGCAACUGACCAUUUCUGAGAGAGUGUCAUACAUGUAUGGAUAUUUGGUGAAAAUAAACACACUCCUGUCUGCCUUGAAGGAGGUGUAGCAAAGGCUUUUUUUUCCAUUCUCAGUGUUCUCAAACACUGAAUAGCGUUCCGCUGUAAGACAGAAAUUGUCUAUGUGCAGAUGCUUGGCUUCCUUGAAAACCUAUGUAGUUUUCUUGAUGGCAUAAUUAUUCACCAUAUUAAUAUUAGUCUACUAGAGGUAGCUCUGUCUCACUUUUCUUUUUUUCAUAUAGUUGUAAUGACAAGAAAUAAGCAGCCCUGGCUGCCUACAAAGGUCGCAAUGUUUGCAAAAACAAGGGAAGAACAGCAGCACUGCGGGGCAUGGACUGCCGGACACUGCUUCUGCUUACUUAUGGCAACAGUCUUACAACUUCAGCUUUGUGUUGCAGAAAGCUAUGGCUGUCCUGACAGUAUCUCAUCCUUUUUUCACCAAGGGGGGCAAGAGGAGUGUGCAGGAUGCAUCUCUAAAGGACUGCUUCCACUUCUUACCAAGGCAUGGUGUGCUGCUGAAAUUGAAGGAAAAUCUUGAAAGAUUUAGACUGUAAUUUCUGAAACUGUUUAAGGUAUUGUCGUCUGGAAACUGACUUUCUUAAUGCAAUUUGUCUACUUUUUCUCCAAAUGUCACAAAAGAGAAUUAGAAUUUAAAUGCACCAAUAUGUUUUAUAGAAGAUUAAAAAUUACUGUUAUUUGAGCGGUUUCUAGCAGCAGUGAUGGAAAUUGCAUUAUAUACUGCAAUGAUUUAUACUUUUUCAUUGUAUAAUUUGUUUUAUUCCCACUGCAACUCAACAGGAUUGCAAAGGCAUGUAUGAAUAAACAUGAAUUGGAGAUGUUGCAACUGAGCGCGGGAGCAUAAUGAUGGUAAUUUUUCCCUACAGAUCAAGAAGCUUUAAAUGUACAGUUUCCUCAACAGAACAGUUGGAUGUUAUCAAAAUGGCUGCUGUGCCUGCAUGUGUCCCUUGCAGCAUCAUUCCCUCAUCAUUGAUUUGCACAGCACAUAAGCCAAUGCAAAGCACUGCCCAGAAAGGAGCUUGCUAUUACCUGCCUAGGCAUUUCCCACAAAAGCUGCUACUGAAAAUUCUCUCCAUACCUAUCAGAUGUUUCUGCACUGUGAAUGCUAAGGAAAUGCUGAGGAAUUGACUCCAUGGUUUUUAAACCAUCAGAUUUGCACAAUGUUUUCCUUGCUAGUAUUGAUCCUCUCUUCAAAGGAAAUGAAGGCAAAACAAGACUGGAGUUAUAUUGUACCAGUAAUGUUUUGCUUUUCUCAAAAAAGUAAUGAUAGCUAGAGCUUUUGCAUCUUAUUUUCUAUUUCCUUAUCAUCUAUGAAAUAUUAAUUAAAACCCUAAACUAAGAAUCAAGAGAGACGACAGGGGUGGCAAGGCACCCAAAUGUGGAUCUAAAUAUAACUGAGGUUGUUUAUAUCAGUGAGCUCCACCAAAGGAUAUGCGUUUAUGCGACUUUCUUGGUCGGGGAGUCAGUUUGCAAUGCUCCCAUGUAUUGUAUCCUUUAUUGUUCAGAUUUCAAAGGUCAUUUUUGCAAGAGUCUAAACAACUAAAUCAAAUGCUAAAUUAUUAUCUCAGUCGCAGAAAUGGAGAAACUAUAAUAUUGAAGCUGACUGACUCUGUCAAGUAAAUAUUUAUUAUUAGAAAUAGGAUCAGAUUUCAUGUCAUCACUCCAAAUCUCGCACCCAGUCUUCUUGCAUUGGUGACCUACGAUAAUGUAAAACAUGUUAAUGUGAUCAUUUUUAAGUGAUUAAUACCCAGGGAGGAGCGAUUUCCUGAAUUACCAGGUGAAUGACUAAACAUUUCCUAAGGAUCGCUCAAGACACUGAAGACAAAAUAUCUAUCGUUUCUUGUUACAGUUCAUAUUUUUGCUGCUUCUCAGACAUGCUGUGAUUCAUCUCCGAGGAACACUUCAUAUACUGUAGUUUAUUUUUCUAUCACGACACAAUUUGCAAAACAGCAAUUCCCCUUACGUUGUCUGAGCAUUGCUACCUCUUAAAUCAAAUGUAUACUGUCUGUUUCCAUCCCUGCUCUCUGUCUCAGUUAUUAUUUUUGCGAAGAUAAGAAAAUCCCAUUUUUACCACUGGAGAGCCAGGCUGCUUAGGUCACAAGAUUCUUUUGGCUUAAUCCUUGAGUAUGAAUCAUGAACUUUCCCUAAGAAGUACUGGCAUUCUUCAGAUGAUCAAGCCAGCUUACUAAAGCUUCCAGAGCUUUCUGCAUUAACGAUCACCGUGUUGAAAGUAUCAAAAGCAGUAACUGAUUAAGAAUUACAUUGUUUAUUCUUUUCCCAUUUCCGCUGUUUCUCGCUCUUACAUGGCUUGGUACUGUAAAUGGCUGAAAUGCAACUCAGUUUCAUGAAAAAUAUGAUGAAAAAGAUAAAUCAGACAAAAAAAUUGUGUGAAAUAUGAGAAACAGAGUUACUUUCUGCAAUACAUGGCUCAAAAAAUAAAGUGUAUAUGUCCACAUGGCUCCAGCUAAGGAAAAGCAUUUUUCUCACAUUUAAUAUCAGAAAUUUCAGAGGUAGCCAAACAUCUACUCUGCAGAUGAUUUACAACCCCUGCAGAAAAAAAAAACAUGUACUACUGAAACAUCAUAGUAAAUGUCAUGUAAUUCAAUAAGCAUUAUGUGAAGAAAUGAAUAAAAUGAAGACACCCCCAAAAAUUAUUUCUUGAGAUGUGAAGGUGGAAACAGAAUAUAAAUUCCAGAUCCAGAACACAGACAAUUGCUGAGAUAAGACUGGACUCUAGUAAGCAUGUCACUCUGGAAACAUGAAGGUCCCGGGCAGUUCAGGACAGCUGUUAUAUUCCUGCACCACAUUCAAGCACUAGACCUGAUAAAAGUAGACCAAACUCGAACCUAUUCACUUUGGCUACCAAUGAGAUUUUUGUAACUUUUACCAGGAAUAACACUUCUACAUAAAGAUGGAGUAAACUAUUCCAACAGCAUUUUAAGUGUUACACAGUAUGAAAAGCUGAAAGUACACUGAAUAUUUGUUAAAAAAGGAGGUUGGUCCUUUUUGGUGGUCAGUUAGACAAGGUGUACAUAUGGCCUAUUGUAUCUGCAUGAGCAACAGGACACAACCGAGUCAUAGUCCAAAUUGCUUUGAAACUUUUCUGAAGCCAACAAAUAUUUUUAUAAUAGCAGUGACUAAGCUUAAAAAUAAAAGCAGAAAGCCCUGAAAGGAAAUCAGGGAGUCAGAAUGACCAGUGGUUACUCUUGUAUUUAUUAUUCUGUAAAUUGUAGCGUAUGAAUGCAACCGAGAGGCAGAGAAGAAGCAAGAUGAAAAGAGCAGAACCAAGAGAGAUUUUUAAUGUUAUUUCCAGUGCUGAAAACUCUGGGAAGAAGAAUGCUGGAAGUGUCCAAAUUAAAUACAAGACGCUUUUCCGAGAGCUCAAAAAAUAAGUUCUCAACAAAGAACUAAAACCACUGAACAUUAUGUUUCUGAGAAAUAUAAAUAUUAUUUUAAAUGAAAUUUAGAUACUUUAUUGAGAAAUGUACAAGUUUAAAAAUACAAAAAAAAGUCUUAAAUGUUCAGUACAGCCCUUUUCUGAGGCGUGACUUUUAGUGCGGAAUUUAGGCGCAGCUUCUAUUUCUACUAACUCACACUGCAUGUAUUCCUAACCUUCUCCCUCUUUGUAUUGCCUAAUCAUUCUCAGAGAUCUUGCUUCCAGAUGACUGUUUACAUCCAUACUGUUUUCCUUAGCUGACAUGAUGUGCAAGGUAUUAACCUAAAAUAUAAUGAGUCUUAUAUGAACACCCCAGAUAUUGUUGAUCACUGUCCGUAUUUGCUGGUUAGAGUAACUCAGUAUUUCUAGUCACGUUGUGUUAUGGCCUGGUAGUCAUUAGUGUUUUAACACAGUACAGACAGGAUUUUAAAAAACAUAUUUAUGAUUAAAGUCACUCACAUGUCAGUAUGUUUAUUGAAUGGCAGUUGCUGAACUCUGAAGAUUUUUGGGCUACGAUUCCAUCUCUUUUAUCAAUUUCCUACAAAACCCUUCAAGCCAUGAGUGCAUGACAUAAAAAUAAGUAGUAUAUACUUGUAAUAGUAAUUGAUUAGGUCAAUGGGACCAAUCAUUUUCAAAUUUAACCAUUUUUCAGUCUGUCAAGUACAAGUAUUCUAAAACCAAGUUAUGUCUAAAAUACACCGUGUCCACUGUGAUUUAACAGUGCUUCAGACAUUUGAGUGUGAAUUUUGUUCAAGGAAAAUGUCCAUCAGAAAUUUUAGAUUUAAGGAAUAAUUUAGAAAUAAGGAAUGUAAGGUUAUAAUUAAGAAAUGGAUCCAAGAUUGUGAUGCAAGCUUGGGAAAAAAACUGGUGUGAUUUAUCCAUUUGAACAGCUGGUCAGCGACUGUGCUGGAGAGGGAAACCAAUGCAGUCUACCUGUCUGAGCUCAUCUGCUUCUCAGUUCAAGAAUCAGAGGACCAGAGGACUCAUGUUGCUUCUGACCUCUUGGUUAAGUGGAAGCGUAGCAGUCAUAGCAAAAGCUCCCUGCAAGUGCUCUUCCGACUACCUAACAUAACCAGAGUCUGUAGAUUGUUUCCUCAGCUAUAGAAAUGUGCAUGGGGUUUACUUCACCGGACUGGCAGAGAUUUUUCCUGUAUAUUAAUUUCUGCAACUGAGAGCUGAUGUUUGUUUGCAUAAAAACAUAUUUUUUCAAUUAUCAUAUGCACAACAACAAAUUUAAAAUAUUUGUAGCAAUAGCUAACUCCUGAGAACAUUUGCAUUCCAAGCAGCUAAGAGUGUCUAAACAAAGCCAGAAAGCAAUUUGAUACUUGUCUUAAACUCAUUACUACUUAUUAUUACGGUAAUUUGCCUGGAUUUUUUUUUUUCCAGUUUUAAAAAGAUGUUAGAGAUCAUGGCAGCACUUUCCCCAAAAGAAUGCAUUCUUCAUAGCCACCUAUCCUUCAGGAGGCCAUUCAUUUAAGUUUGUAGUGCCACGUGAGUGCCAUUUUGGACUUACCGAGGAAGGGUUACUUGAUCUAGACAUAGCUAAACUAAACUUCUGGGGAAAAGAUACAACAAAAACCAACAAACAAAGAAAAAUCCUUUCUUGCAUUAUUUCCAGAUUUGGUGAAGAACAUUAUAAAGACUAAUAAAUACAUUAUAUUGUCACGCAAAGUUUAAACUAAAUUUUUGGGCUGUUGCUGUGACAAGCAUUAAGAAAAGUUUCAAGUUUUCCAGAAGCCAUACUAGCCAGCUGCUAACUCUUGUUGUCCUUUUCCUCAGUGACUCUGACUAUUUUUUGCCUUGUUCUUAAGGAAGUGUAUGGAUGUGGAAAAUGCCUGUUUAACGAUUCAGAUUAAAAAAAGUAACCAAACACUAACAUUUUGUGUUCACAAGGCACAGCAGAGUGUCUUAACCUAAUAACCAUUGCCCUGAAUUCUGAUUUGUGGACUUCAAAAUACGAAUUUAAGUAUUUCACUUCAGCAGAAGGGCAAAAUUAAAUCCUAAGGCAAAAUACUUAUGCAUUGAAUAUAUUACAUAAGUUCAGCAGUGGUGAUGAUGGACAUUUAACACUUAUCUCUUUAAAUUAUUUCCUUUCCUUCUCUGCUGUCAAGGAUGUUCAUUUAGCUACCUUUUUUGUUAUUGGAUAAUGUAUACCCAUAACUAGAAUUCUUACCAAAUCCGCCUCCUUACAAAUUUAAAAAGCAACUAAUUAUUUCUUCAGGACAAAGAACGCAGCGUGUUAUUUUUAUGUAUCAUUAGGAAAAAAAAAUGAUAACGGAAAUGAACCAGGGGAACAGAAAAACAAAAUAAGAAGUGAAAUCCAAGUUUCUAAAGCAGAGAUGUAAUGCCAAUAAACUGUUCCAGAGAAACUGAUUAGCUGCCAGCUUUUCUACCUGUUGCCAAGAAAGCAUUGCUGUGUUCACUGAUCCUGUCAUUAAACCGAGUAUGUUCUGAAACAACUCUUUCUGAAUGGUGCCAUCUUCUGUGAAGGGGGAGGGAGCUUUGCUCCUAUAGAGCACCGCUAGAAAGAUGGUUCUGCUCCAAAAAGCAGGUACAGGGGAAAGCUUGGUUAACUCAUGUACACACACUCUUUAAAGAGAAAUAAAUUAACAGUUGAAGAGAAAAACCGUGUUGCCUACAGAUUGUUGGCAGGAAGCACAGGACUAUAAUUUGCAUCUCUGAAAAUACUAAUUUGCAGGGCAAAAAGUCUUAAUGGCUGUUUUUUAAUACCCUAUAAUAUCAGGUUUUUACUCUUGCUGAGUCUGGUUGUUUUCUUUAGAAAAAAAAAAAAGACUAGUGUUUUGUAAUAUUUUCUUGCUAGGUUUUUAAAUAUUUGUCAUUACAAUUAUCCAUGCUACUCGAGAUAUUUGCAUGAGUAUGUCAAUAAAAGAGCAGAUCACACCAGCGAACUUCUCCCACAUCGUACCUUGUUCAGCCCUCAGACACUAAAAUUCAGUAUGGGCAGUCUAUUCUGUUUACCUCCACAACAGUGCUCUGAUAUCUUCUAGUAAGGCUUUAUUUUAUUUUCAUUUCUGCCAAAAUUUUACAUUUCGUGAGUGUAGCAGAAAUGCUAAGUCACGGCCUGAAGCAGUGAUGGAGCAGCUGGGGGGAAGGCAGGGCCAGCCAGGGGAGCUCAGGUGCAAGCAAUGCAAUGCAGCUGUGUGACCGGAAGGGUGCAGCCAGGAUCCACCCCUUCCCAGCCCUCCCUUAAGGGCUGGCAGUGGAGGCAGGGGGAUCUCUCUGGAGAUGCUUUUGUUCCUGAGGCCUUCCGAAGGCAAGCAGUUCUUCUUCCUUUGUUUCUGUAUCUACAGCUGCUGCAUUUGGGCUUGUUGUCAUUUGCUGCAGCCUAGGAUUGUGCUACUCCACUAUUAUUGCUGUACAUUCCAAUGCAUUAUAGCAUUACAAGCAUGUAAUUUUUUCAAAAAAUGUUCUUCACAGCAGCUUUUAUUCUCAGGUGUGUUGGAACCAAGACGCAGGGUUUUUUAAAAGAUGACUGGUGUUGUGGUACAUAGAAAGUUAAUUCAGAAUUUUUGCAGUUCAGGAGAUUUGCAGAGUCCCAUUGACAGAUCAAGGUCCUUAAACCAAUGUAAUCACGAGAAACUAGCAUGUUUCGUAACUCUCUUAAUAGCAGGUGGAAAGGCUCAGUAUCUGCACAUUCUUUACAGCCAUUAACUGCUGCUUACAUCACAGAAGACCAACCUUUUCCACACUGUACUCCUUCCCUACUAGCCACAUCUACAGUGUGCGUCCAUAAUUAUUUAUGCUAAUUCCUAAGAACAAAACUGGGGGGAAAAAAAAACUACAGUUCGCUGCUGAGCAUGUGAAAUUGAAGUGCUGUCCAUUUGUUAAAUUUUAACAUCCAGAGCAGUGAACUGCUGUGACCGCAAAGCUAGCGUUCCAUGUGUUCUGUAGCCUUGUUAUGGGACGGGAGCUACCAGCAGAGUAGUAGGGCAGAUACAUGGCAAGAUGGUUAGAGUUUACUACAAGUAAUUCACCUACUUGGGCUCUACAUCUGUGGUCAAACACUUCAGAAACAGCUGUAAUUAUUUUAAGAUGUUAUUUUUUUCUACUUGUUUCUUACUGUCUCCAAGUCCAGGCAAGUGAGAUGGACUGACAUCCUGAGCCAGCAGGGUUAGGUUGAAUCACCUGCACAAACAGUCACAGAAGCUGAAUUUACUGUACCAAAAGGUCUACAUUGAAAGGCACCUAAAGUAUAGUCACAUUAAGGGGACAGAGCAUACCCGAAAGCUCUGUGGAGCUGCUAUGCAUCCAACCCGGGCAGAGAGUGAUUAAAAGAGUAAUUAAGCAAUGGAAUUCCCAAAGAUUUUGCUAGUAACAACUAGCAAGCAGAGAUCCUACUAGGAAUUAUGUCUGAAGGGGCUAAAACUUGGUUAAAUAGGUAGAUUUUUUCAUAGGAAUAACAAUAAGCACAUGCUCAACAGGAAGGCCAAUUUCCUGCCAACACCAAAUCUCCAUUCCAGGCCUUUAGGUUAUUCUCAGUAUUUCAAAGAAAAAAAAAUCCCAAACAUUUCUUUUUUAAGAAAGAGAAUAUAGAACACUGGUCCCUGUCUUUAUGAAAAAUAAUAAUAGAAAAAAAUUUACUAUAUUCACACAAAGAAUACAAAAGGUUUCUGCUUUUAAGUUCUCUCCUUUUAACAGUUAAUGUAUUAGUAAUGUAAAUCAUUUGACAAACAGAAUAGGGUAAAGUUUAUUUUCUGGGUUUCAUGGUUUCUUUUUAAACAAACGUAUCUUAAAAACUUAAGUAUCUAGCAGAAAUGGCAUUGGCCUUCAUCGUGGCCUGUGAUUAUUCGGUUUUCAUGGCCUAAGUGGCUUUACUUUUGUUGCGUUAUUUUGUUUAAAGGAUUGCUGCACUACUCAGAAUAAGCCAAACUGUCCCAGGCCACCACGCCUGGAUGCUGGGUGCAGCAACAUAAUUUCUAGGAAUGUUUAUUUAUAAUAUUUAGAUGUUUGGACCAACUGCUGACAUGUUAAUCCUGCAAUUAAAGCUUAACACUUAUUUCAUUCUCAGUAAUGCUCUUCAUAUGCGAGAAAUAUAUUACAUGUUAUAGGAUUGCAGGCAGAUAUACUCAAAUAAACACUGACAUAAUAUUAGAAGACUUUAAAUCAGCUCUCAGUGAUUUUCAUUUCCAAAUGCUCUUUUGUACAUCUGUUGGCAUUCUUCACUUUCUGAAACCUGGUCAAUCAUUUGAUGCCUGAGAAGUUUGUAACUGUAUGAGUUUUGGCUGAUGAGUGUGUAUGUCCGUCAGUCUGGAAAAAUCUAAGUACAGCAAUUCUAUUUGAAAAUUGUCAACACAACAGUGAAAGGGCAGUUUGAUGGAGCUAAAUUAGUACAACCACUUGGUGAUAAAGAAUUGCAAAUGCCUCUGACCACACAAUCCCUUCCCUCAAACCAGCAUCUUCUGACACACGUGUGUCUGAUCCUUGUCAGUAAGGUCAGCCAGUAAAACAGGCUGAAACUUAUCCCUCUCCAGUUCGGCUCCACUUGUGAACCUGAUGAGGUUUCAUUCUGUUUCACUGUUCAGAUUGCAGUAGAUCUUAAAAAGCAGCUGCCCAAAUACUGAUUACUGACAAAUGCUUUCUCUAAUGAACCACUAGUUUGAAGCAUCAAUUUCUACAUUUUGAGCCUAGGAGACCAGAGAGCCUUGUCUUGUUGUGCCAGUCUGUCCCUUUCUUCCCUGUAGAACUACAAAGAUAGUGGGGGAGAAAACAUGAAAAGCCUCCCUAAAGGGAAGGCAAUUAACAUUGCUUCUCUCUUCUCUUCCACAGAGCCAGUCGUGCCAUCACAGGUACCAAUGAGGUCGGUCAGGCACCAUUUCCCUGCGCGUUUUGGCUUCCAAGACCUAUAUAGUCUCAAAAAAAUAACCUAUGAAUAUACUGAUCAUUUUAAAUGUUAUAAAGCCCAAUAAAUAACAUAUGGAUUCAUUUACAACCUAUAUUAUAGGUCUGUUAUGUACAUGUAUGAUCAUACACUCACAACUUUCUUGUCACUUUGUCUUAUAAGCAAAUAUAGAACUGUUUUAAACAAAUCAGGAGAACUAUGGAGUGGACUUAAGGUGCAUCAGUUUUUCUUAUGUCUGCAUACGGAAGGUGAGAUUCUUCUGCUCAGAGAAAUAUGGGCUGCAUCUUUUUAAGAGUUACACACAGCAGCUGUUGGCUUUGUAACUAGACCUUUUGCUUAGAAGUUAUGCGCAUAUGUACAUAGUUUUCAUAUAUUGAGCACCCAGGUGAAUCCUUUUGUGCAAAAUGUAGGCAUCACCAAUACAGCUUGUAGCUAAAAUAUUCAAAGCUGUUAAGAAACUACAUUUGAAAUGGAAAAAAAAGACACAAAAUAGACUAUAUACAUUAUCUACCCAUUCAACUGUCUGUCAGCCACUAUGGAAAAAAUCCUGAUUUUAUUCAGUAUUAUUCAAAACAAUAUUAACUUAAUAAACAGCCUUUGAUGGAUCAGAGUUUUUCACUGUCAGCUCUUGCUUAAAUUAAGAAUACUUAUUUAUAUAUUUUGAAGAUGUACAACUAAAGCUGUAACAUUUCAAAUGAAAAUAUUUCCUAUUUUCAGUGGACAUAUCUGCUGGAAAUGUUUGCCUUUGACAGGAGCUCACGACAGCCAAAUGAAUUCAGGAUUAAUUUACAAUUGUUUCAAACAUCCAUAAUGCAGAAUGAUGCCAAAAUCAGAUGAGAACAGAAAAGUUCCUUAGAAAAUAUAGCUUGCUCAACAAUUUCCUUUAACUUGUUUUUUUUUGGCAUUGGAAAUAUUCCUGUGACCCAAUUUCCACCUUUUAUUGGCUUCUACCAUCCACGAUUUCUACGCUGCAUGAUUUCUAAAACCCAGACACUUGCAAGACACAUCUUAAGUCCUGUCCUGGAGGUAUCUGGCUCAGCAACAAUAUUCUUAGUUGGUAGAAUAUAUUUAAACUGAAAAAAAUAUGUAACAUUACUUUUUUAUUUACAGGUCCUAAAGUAUAUUAUUAUUGGAUCCUAAUAAGACUUAUAAUAACAUAUACAGGUUUUCUAAUUCCAGUAAUGCUUAAGUUCCCAACAAACUACAAAAGAAAACAUUGUACAGGAAUAAAACAGAACAAAGUCCUAAUUGAAACUUCACAAGAAAUUAAACUUGAACGUCAUCUUAAAGGUGAAAUUAAUGUAAAUUUUCAUUCAAGAAAAAAUUUAAAAAUGGAGACUGUACAUGGACACUGAAAUUAAAAGAAAACAUUGAAUUGUUGUUUCUUCUUUGGUAUGCUGUCUUCCACACAAACUCAAAAGCAAGAAAAAAGAUGGCAAACUACAUCAAUGGAAGGACGUAUUCCCAAUCAGACUACAAGGCAAAAGAAGUUGAAUCUGUUCUUGCAUUAUCUCAAUUUUUAAUGUAAUGAGAGGACUGGAAUUUAGAGUAUGGGUCUAUCUGUUAUGAAGACGAAAUCCACUUACAGGAACUGAAAGGAAUUAGUACGUCUAACAGAACCAACCUCAUGAAACCAGACAUUGUCUUCCCUUUGUGUUUACAUAACUUUGAAGAAUAAGAUUUUGAAGGGAACUGUAGAAGAUACUGAAUGCCACUGGAAAGCAUUUCUGCACAUUUCUUAAAUGAGUAAAUAGAUUAAAUUCACAGAAGUGAUGAUUAUUUUCAUAUGCAAAGAGCCUUAGUGUCAGAGUAAUAAUCUAAAACACUAUUACCUCCUCAUUACAGAUGGAGAAGCUGGAGACAUGGGUUAAAGUGAGUUGCACAGUGUCACAAUUUAAAUUGGUAGCUAACCUGACAGCAGCAAGAGUCAGUUUAUUCAAUGCUGUCUCCUACCAGGAAAAAUAAAGGAAUUAUCUGCCUUAUAAAUAACAGAGUAGCUCAGAAGUGUUUUCCAUUUUGCCACCGUUGUGGAUAAAUGCUGGCAGUGUAAAUGUGUGGAAUUUGGCAUAGAGCCUCUUUCCCUACAAUGUAUCAUUCAUCUUCCCUCUUAGCAUUUCAGUGCCUGUUCCUUUUAGGUGGCUAUUAAAGGGAAGAAAAACAGAGCAAAAUAAAAUAAUACAUUUAUGUUACACUAAUGAAACAUACAAAUCAAGAAAUUGUCUUCUAACUUUGCAGCAGCAGAAGUUGUCUACAGCAUCCAUCAGGUUAAGGACUACAGCUAGCCCACCCCAGGAGUAUAUCAAAAUCUUUAAAUUCUUGUUUUUAUUUGUCAGGAGAAUAUGAAGUUCUCUGUGAUAUGAUUUUAUGGAAAACUGAAAAAAGAAUCAUAAAUGGAAGUGCCCAUAAAAUUACUGGAGCAGUGCUCUAUGUCAAGCUAUGAAAUAUAGGAAUUACUGUAAGGUUUCUCUCAUGACGCCAUAAAUCUCCUCAGGUUCACUAGAAUCUGCAGCUAACUACUUUAUUAAAUUCACAUUCGCUAAACACAUUAAAUCCACAUGGGUUUGAGUAGCUGAGCUUCACUCUAUGCAAUGACCAACCCUUCAUAAAUCAAUGUUCUGAGAUAUUAUUUAUACACCCUUCUAGUAUGUAAGUGAAAGUCAGAAGAAUUUUAUCUGUCAGGAAGAAAGCAUGUCUGGACUCUCUGAAUUUCACAAAAGUUAAGUCUAAACUAAUGAAAAUAUUAGUUUGCCUUACAUGAGCUUUGCUACAGCAAUAUAAAAAUGAAAAACAUUACAGAAAGGAGUUUUUAAUCCAACAUAGCUAAGUGGAAGUACCACAGGGAAAAAAAUCAUCUUUCUCUUAGAUUGGACUGGUUUUCCUGAAUAGAAAACAUCCUCAUAACAUUCCAUCACUGCUGGGAGAAAGUCAAUAAAUCAUCAGUCAUGUUUGGCCACACGAUCUCUACCGAUCCCACCAUUCAGAUCUUCAUAAAUAUUAUCUACGAACUACAUGAAUUUUCAGAAGAUACUUCUUUUAUUAAAGUCUCCCAUCCAUGGCUACAUGCAUAUCUUUCCUGUAGUCAAAGAAGACUUCUGAGAAUGGGAUUGUGUUGGAAGAAUUAAAAACAAUGUGAAGGAGAAAAGACUGGAAUACAGCAGCACCAUGUCAGCUUGUCACUGUAACUAACUUGCACUGCAAGGUUUGAAAACUAUGUCUGAUGGUUUUUUGAGUGUGGAUAGAACUCAGUAAGGCUCUUCUAAAUUAUGGGAUAAGCACUUAUGUCUGUUAUGUUCACAACGUACAGAGCAAGAGCAGCAAUGGAAAAAAUGCAAAAGCUAAUGAGAGCACAGCGAUUUUUUCUCAUCUGCUAACACUUCUGUAUUUACUUCUCACCACAGUAAACAUUUUCACCUUUCUGUUUUUCUAGGGUAGACAAUAUGAAGCUUCUAAUGCAGUUCACUUCUCCAUAGACAAAACUCGAAGGCUAUUAUGUCAUACCACAAGUCUAAAUAUCUAAAAUGCAAAUCUAGUUUAGCAUUAUUUAAAAAAACAGUUUUCUGAGCUUGUGGUGGCUGUGGUAGCACUUGCUACCAGAGGAGGAGGAUCAGCCACCUGCUGGCUCUGCCCACAGGUUUCUGCUGCUACUCCCAUCAGAGCAAAACCAUCAUUGAUUCUGUUUGCUUUCCCACAACACUGACAUGCCAAGGUUUAGCCUUAUUCCUCUGGUCACUAUCAGACAUCCACUCAAGAGCAGUCAUCAAAUACAUUUAGAAAUAGACAAAACAGUUUUGUGGGUGUUUUUAGAAUGAGCCUUGCCAUUACAACCAGGCCUAACGAAAACCAGCCAACCAAACAGAAUGGCACUGUGUUAAGAAAAGACUGCUCAAGCUGAACGAGACAUCCAGGCAUUGAAGAGAUGCCUCUGUCCAAAAUCUGGUAACACCUUGAGCAAUUAUUUGAAUAGAAAAAGCAAGCACAACACAGAGAAACUUAAGAGCGCAUAUAGAAAACUCCAACUGUCUCAAAGAAACGUGCAGGCUGCAAACUUAGUGGGACUGCUUGGUAAGAAAAUACUGCUCAUUUUCACAAGCUACAAUGAAAAGAUUAAGUGGGGUGCUCAGGUUCUCACUGAGAAUGUGAGUAGCUCUAAGUCUGACCAAAAGGACAAGACACCAAAACAGCAGCCAUGAUCCUGCUCCGCUGUAGCUUAUCGCUCCUCGAGGUCCAGCAGGAGCUCUGCAGCCACAGGCAGCAUUAAUACAGUAUCAACAAAACAUGGAAACACCUUUAUCCUUUAUUUUCUGAAUCUAGUUUCAUUUUUAACGUGUGACAUUUCCUGAGCAUGACGGAAUGCUCCCUAUAUGAAGUCUAGCACAAUUAUUUUUAGUUUUAUUUUGGAAAUAUUAAAUAUACACAGGUAUAUUGUAACAGCUAACCAAUUUUUCAUUGCUACCGAUAUCUUUGUGUAUUCUUUAAAUUUUGUUAAAUAAAACAAUUGCUAAAAAGAAAAGAAGAGGCUUUUCAGCCUUCAAGUCAAGAACUCUACAUAAACUUGAGAAAACUAAGAAUUCUGUCAAUAUGUUGUCCUUCGGGCUGUUAUACCAUGUACACAAAAAUAAAUCUGCCACAUUCUCUUAAAAACAGAUCUGUUUGUGCACUCAUCUAAAAGUAUCAGACUGGAGCAUAAAAUGGGAGGCAUUACUUUCAGAGCAGCCCUGGUAGUGUGCUACAAUCCAGCAGGAAGAGUUACUAGUCUAUACCUGAGGGACUCUGGGAACACUGAGGUGAAGUUCUUUGAUAAAUCAUCUCACUGCAACACUGCAUCAGUUGAGAACGAUGCUCCCCAUAAGAGCAGGCAAUUGAAUCACUGUUUCUGUUCUCAGCAGUCCUAUUCUACUGCAGAAAAAACUUUCUAUUGGCAGCUUCCCAAAGGUAGACUAAAGAAAACCGUAACUAAAAUUAUCCAGUACAUAAGAAAAUUAGAAGGGGAGGUUGAAAUGUAAAUUUCUCCCAAACAAAAUGGAGGGCCAAUUUUACAGUACUGCAUAAUUAUUUGCAAAAUGAAAAAUAACACGUAUAAGAAACGUGGCAAAUAACUACCCCAACACAAUUUGAAAUUGUGUAUUUGCUGACAUGCAUAGUGGAUGUGCUUGGAGCAGACUUAUGUUUGAAGAAUAAGCAGCAGCCCUUAAAGACAUCUAACUUCUAGUUAUAAAGUAAUUAGAAAAUGCUUUUUUUUUUUUUGCAUGAACAUGUCCAGUCUUCCUUGAACAUUCUAAACAUAAAAUCACAUUUGAAAAAGAUACUCAAGCUGUAAGUUUAAAAUUUAUGUAUGCACAUACAUAUGAACUCGUUACUGAGGAAAAAAAGUCUUUUUAUAAAGAUUUCAGAAUGAAACAAAAGAGCAAUUCUCACUUCAGUAACAGUGAAGUGUGUCUUUAAGGCUUGUAAAAGGAACAGCCAGCCUCAAAGACUGAAUUUGAAGUAAUCAACUUGAAAACAGUUGUCUUUGUCAAUCAUUUGAUGGGUUGUAAGCAGAUCAUAUAUUAGGAUGAAACAUGCUUGGCACAGUCACAACCUCCAAAUUUUCACAUUCAAUUACAUUCUAAUAGCAAUCAGAUCACACAGAGUGAUUCUAGUCAUAAACUGGGAAACUCCUUCAAGAACAGAGUCAUUUUUAAGAAAUGAAUAUAACAAUAGGGAAAUAUAUCUUUUCAGUUUCAUUAAAUGUUUUCUGCAUUGUAUUUACGAAUAAAUCAUUCCAUAUGAGUUUGUUUUGAGCUGUGACCCACCCAUGAUCUGCUAUAAUGUUCAUGGCUAUUUAUUUAUUUUUAAAAGGAAUUUCAUGUACAUCUAUUAAAGUAAAAAUAACAUCUUAAUUACCCUAAAAAUCCCAACCUAGCCCACCAGCUCCUCAACCAACUAUGGUGAGGCACUAUUUCUGUAAAACACACAGGUAAAGUUACGUCAGUUUAAGUUCAAAGCCAUCACAGCUCCAAAUAGACAAGCAAUUGCAUAAUUGUUUACUAGCGUACUGUGGAGUAUUUUAAGGAAUCUUCACUGUGCACACCUGCUCAGGUGGCAAUAGUCUACAGGCUUCAGAAGCCAAGAACUCUUGAUUACCAAGAGUUCUGCUCAUGUAUGCUCUGUAGCUGAAAUGCAGGACAUUUUUAUCUGUGUCACAUUUAUCACGAUUUAAAGACAGUACAUCUGGGAGAUCAGACAUCUUCUAGGCACCAUGACAGAAGUCAAAGGUUUAAAGAAAGAAAGGGGUUAUUUUUUUUCCAGAAUCACUGCAAGUUUUAGCUUUCUACCUCUCAUUUCUCUACUGGAUAAAUAAUUUAGUCUUCCAUCUAAAUCAUCUGAAGCUUUUAGUUUUUAUUCCAAAACAAGCUGAGAGCUAAUGUACGCAUAGGUUUCUGCGCUCCCAGAAACGUUAACGUUACGCGGGACACUUGUUCUCCCUCAGGCCUCAUCCACUCACCUGCGCCUCUUCUCAUCCACACUGGAGGGUUGCUUAUGCUGUUGUCUUCUAUUCCGUGCUACACUGUUCCCCUUUGCUCAGUGCUUCUCUCAUCCACCAGAACCGGCCAUGACCUUUGCUGUCAGACCUGUGCUUUCUGGCCCAAGCUAAUACCUCUCACCCCAGAUGCUUGAGAGAGAUUUGCCCACGAUCAAUUUAAGUACAAUUUUAACAUUCUUUCCAAUUUAAACAAUGAAGUGCUCAAACGUUGUUGAUAAAUGGUCAUUGUCAAGCUUAAGUUUCAGUCAAAUAAACACAUUCCGUCCCCUCCACAGCAGCAGGAUUUCAGCCCUCCUGCCUCAUUUCGCUGUGGAGAGCUUUUCCUUACUUCUCACAUUCAGGUCUACACUCCAAGUUCUCAUCUGUUAAUCACAAAUUUCCUCAUUUUCCCAAUUAAAUUUCUCUGCUUUCACCAACACUAGCUGUAGGUAACACCUGAGUGCCCGCACCCUUACGCUUGCACUGUGCCCCGUUCCCGCCGCCAGCAGUGGGGAACCGCCGCUCCUCACCUCACCGCGAGCACGGAGCGCCACAGCUCCACUGCAGCGCCCACCAUUUGCUGAAGGAAAUCUUUCACUUCAGUGCAACCACCAGCAAGAUAACGUCGGCUAUUUUAUGCAGUUGGCUAUUUUAUGCAACUGAAGAGCAGAAAAACAAGCCUAGUUACGGCUGCUGUGCACUCACCUCGCCCUGGCUCCACACAGCUGGCUGAGCAGUGCUGCAUCUGCACCCACUGCGGGGCUGAGGGCGCCCCCGCCCUGAGGGAAGAUGGAGGCCGGGCGCCCUCAGGGGGGGAUGGAGGCCGGGCCCCUGAGGCCAUCAACACCAAGGCAUCUGUGGAGGUCUCCUCCGGCCCAAAACUGUUUUGGCCCCAAUUAGGGCAAUUGCGCAGCACACGGAACCAGGUAUAGCCACUGCUGCUUCUCCAAACAGAAAACAAAGGAAGAGCAUCAAAAUUAAAUAAUAUCCAUGGGGUUUACUCCCCACUUCCCCGAGGAAAAAAUGGAAAGAAGAGGGGAAAAAAAAAAAAAGUAAUUCUAUCCAAGUAUGAUAGAUGAUACAUCUGUCUUUACCAGGCCCCAACAGCCUCUCCUCACCUCAGCAGCUGCCCCAGUGCCCCGUGCAGCUGCCUCAAGGUGCCCGUCUCCUCCCGUCACGGACAGUGCACAGCCCAGAGCGCAGCUUGAGAGGCACUGCGGCCAGGGAGAUUAGUGAUGACAACUUUGUUUUCCAGGAAUAAAAGCUGUAAAGGUGCGAAUUCUAGGCAUGUAUUUUAAAUUUACAUCAGGAAACAAAUGUGGGUCAAAUUUAGGAAGCCACAUUCCUCCUCUGCUAGAAGCAGUGCUUUGAUUUAUAGUGAGGUGCACAAAAGGCACAGCAUAACAAUUUCUGACGCAAUAUCAGGGGGGUCAUUUCAUCUUUACAACAGCAUCUAUCCCUGACAGUUCUCCACCCAAAAUUCGUACUAGUGAUAUCACAGUCCCAAUCCUAUCUCAUUUUAUUAGUGUAAGUAGGUAUUACCUGGUAAAAUCAAACGCUAUGCAAGGACUAGAAAACAAAACAGCAUUAUUUUCUUAAGAGGUGUUAAGUACAGCCUAGAGAUAAAUAACAUCCUGCUCUCCGAAAUUCAGAGUGGGCAGAAGAGUGGAAAUAGUGGGUACACUAGCUUAGAGAAGUAUACACCCAGCCUACUCUUCAUAUGAAAAUAAUAAUCUGGAGAGGAUUUAGGGCUCUAUAUUGUAAUGAAAUUAAGAUAGGCUCCCAUGCUGCUAUGUACACUCUGGAUCAGAAGAGCUCUGUUGAUAAUUUCCCCUAGCAUCACUAAUAACACUAUCUUCUUUCCCACAUUUUAGUGUAAUUAUAUGAUGAUAUGGCUGCUAUUAAACAAACCAACAAUAACAACAACAAACCUUAGUUGUACUACUUCCAGCAGUAUUCCAAGAUUAGAAAUAAAACAUUUCACAUUUGAGGGAUUUAAAUCCUUUUCUCUUUUGCAAAACAAGUUCAAGAUUCAAGAUAGUUCUUGCAGUCAUUUGAAAGCCCACAAAUUUUGGCAUACCUUCAAGCAGGUUACUGCAUUGCUGAAAUGACAAUGGUUCACACUGUGAUGUAAGUACAAUCCGAUGCAACCUUCUUAAUAUUCUACUUUUCCAUAGAAAUGGUUUUCAACUUGCUGAUUUGCAGAACCCUCAUACUUUCUUCCAAGGGAAAUGCGUAGCAAACCUUUUACAAUAGACUUGGUUUUUCUUGGUUAUAUUUCACAAAUCUCUUGAGAAUAGUCAGUCCAGAGACCCAAAGGGUCUGCAAGUCACAGACUGAAAACUUUAUAAAGAUU